rnacentral:lncRNA from 1 species
CUCUACUGAAUGUUAUAGAAAGGUUUAUGGAAAGUUUUGGUCACUUGUCCUUGCUAGGUUCUGCCUCUGGAAGUUUAAAUUUGGGAGGUUUAUCAACACCCUUCCUUGAGUAUUCCCUCCAUCGCCGUGCCGCUGCGGCGGCUCUUUCCGCUCUUUCUUUAGUUUCAUCUUCUGCAAAAUGAUACCGUUUAAAAAACUUGAGUAGAAUAAUGAACAAUAAUCCUCAUAUCACACUAACUGCCAUAACAUAUUAAUAAUUAUAUAAUAGCAGCAAAUUUUCUUUAUAGAAGUAUAAAAAUAUAGAAACUACAAAUGUAAAUGCUCCUUGAUCAAGACUCGAGGGUUGCUUGGAUUGGCUUUUUGAGCUUAUCUACUAGCAAUAAGCACUUAUAAGGCCGUUUGAAAGAUCUUAUGGAAACAACUAAUGAUAUGUUCAUAAGCUAUUAUAGGAUAUGCUUAUAUGAAAACAAUUUGACUUUAAUUUAUCUUGGUUAUAGAGCUAGCUUAUACGUAAGUGUUUAUAUGAUAAGCACUUAUUAAGUUGUUUAUUCAAAGAGAAAGAAAUGAAGACUUGAAACAAUACAGCACCGAUUAGGCUAAAACACAAACAUUUGGAAAUAAUUAAUAUGAUUAUUGAUUUCCAUUAGUUUAAGUUUAUAUAUAUCCCUUUCGUGCUUUCGAAUCCGC